rnacentral:rRNA from 1 species
UGGAGGGCAAGUCUGGUGCCAGCAGCCGCGGUAAUUCCAGCUCCAAUAGCGUAUAUUAAAGUUGUUGCAGUUAAAAAGCUCGUAGUUGGAUUUCUGUUAAUACUUUAUAUAUUAUAUCUUGUAUAUUUAUAUAAUAUUAACAUCAUUCAUAUUACUUUUUUAGUAUAUGAGAUUUUACUUUGAGAAAAUUAGAGUGCUUAAAGCAGGCUUUUGCCUUGAAUACUCCAGCAUGGAAUAAUAUUAAAGAUUUUUAUCUUUCUUAUUGGUUCUAAGAUAAGAAUAAUGAUUAAUAGGGACAGUUGGGGGCAUUUGUAUUUAACAGUCAGAGGUGAAAUUCUUAGAUUUGUUAAAGACAAACUAGUGCGAAAGCAUUUGCCAAGGAUGUUUUCAUUAAUCAAGAACGAAAGUUAGGGGAUCGAAGACGAUCAGAUACCGUCGUAGUCUUAACCAUAAACUAUGCCA